rnacentral:rRNA from 1 species
CGAAAGCCUGACGGAGCAAGACCGCGUGAGGGAGGAAGGCUCUUGGGUUGUAAACCUCUUUUCUCAGGGAAGAAGCUCUGACGGUACCUGAGGAAUCAGCCUCGGCUAACUCCGUGCCAGCAGCCGCGGUAAUACGGAGGAGGCAAGCGUUAUCCGGAAUUAUUGGGCGUAAAGCGUCCGCAGGUGGUGAGUCAAGUCUGCUGUCAAAGCCAGGAGCUCAACUCCUGUCCGGCAGUGGAAACUGACCCACUCGAGGGUGGUAGGGGUAGAGGGAAUUCCCAGUGUAGCGGUGAAAUGCGUAGAGAUUGGGAAGAACACCGGUGGCGAAAGCGCUCUACUGGACCACACCUGACACUCAGAGGACGAAAGCUAGGGGAGCG